GAUGAAGAACGUAGUGAAAUGCGAUAAGUAAUGUGAAUUGCAGAAUUCAGUGAAUCAUCGAAUCUUUGAACGCACAUUGCGCCCCUUGGUAUUCCGAGGGGCAUGCCUGAUCGAGCGUCAUUACACCACUCAAGCUAUGCUUGGUAUUGGGCGUCGUCCUUAGUUGGGCGCGCCUUAAAGACCUCGGCGAGGCCACUCCGGCUUUAGGCGUAGUAGAAUUUAUUCGAACGUCUGUCAAAGGAGAGGAACUCUGCCGACUGAAACCUUUAUUUUUCUAGGUUGACCUCGGAUCAGGUAGGGAUACCCGCUGAACUUAAGCAUAUCAAUAAGCGGAGGA
rnacentral:misc_RNA from 1 species